rnacentral:rRNA from 1 species
GACGAACGCUGGCGGCGUGCUUAACACAUGCAAGUCGAACGGUGAAGCCCUUCGGGGUGGAUCAGUGGCGAACGGGUGAGUAACACGUGAGCAACCUGCCCCUGGCUCUGGGACAACCACUGGAAACGGUGGCUAAUACCGGAUACGACCCGCCUCGGCAUCGAGUGUGGGUGGAACGUUUUUCGGCUGGGGAUGGGCUCGCGGGCUAUGAGCUUGUUUGUGAGGUGAAGGCACCCCAAGGCGCCGACGGGUAGCCGGCCUGUGAGGGCGACCGGCCACACUGGGACUGAGACACGGCCCAGACUCCUACGGGAGGCAGCAGUGGGGAAUAUUGCACAAUGGGCGAAAGCCUGAUGCAGCGACGCCGCGUGAGGGAUGACGGCCUUCGGGUUGUAAACCUCUUUCAGCUCCGAAGAAGCGAAAGUGACGGUAGGAGCAGAAGAAGCACCGGCUAACUACGUG